rnacentral:rRNA from 1 species
CCGGUGGCGGAUGGGCAUGCGGCGCAUUAGCUAGUCGGCGGGGUAACGGCCCACCGAGGCGACGAUGCGUAGGGGUUCUGAGAGGAAGGUCCCCCACGCUGGUACUGAGACACGGACCAGACUCCUACGGGAGGCAGCAGUGAGGAAUAUUGGUCAAUGGGCGCGAGCCUGAACCAGCCAAGUCGCGUGAGGGAUGACGGUCCUAUGGAUUGUAAACCUCUUUUGCCGGGGAGCAAGCGUGCGUUCGUGAACGCGCGUCGAGAGUACCCGGAGAAAAAGCAUCGGCUAACUCCGUGCCAGCAGCCGCGGUAAUACGGAGGAUGCGAGCGUUAUCCGGAUUUAUUGGGUUUAAAGGGUGCGUAGGCGGGAUGCCAAGUCAGCGGUAAAAAUGCGGUGCUCAACGCCGUCGAGCCGUUGAAACUGGCGUUCUUGAGUGGGCGAGAAGUAUGCGGAAUGCGUGGUGUAGCGGUGAAAUGCAUAGAUAUCACGCAGAACUCCGAUUGCGAAGGCAGCAUACCGGCGCCCUACUGACGCUGAGGCACGAAAGCGUGGGUAUCGAACAGGAUUAGAUACCCUGGUAGUCCACGCAGUAAACGAUGAAUGCUAACUGUCCGGCUCGAAUGAGCGCUGG